UGUCCCACCAUGGCUGAAACUACAGUUAUCCCGCCACGAAACGAGUCAAUCACAUUUUUAGCAUAUGAGAUUUGAACUCAAAAGAGAGAAAGAGAAAGGAUUUUUUCCACCAUAGUUGCAACUACAGUUACCCCCGCCAAGAAAUGAAUCAAUCACAUUCUCAACAUAUCUCAUAUGUGAACUCAAAAUUCAAAUCAUAACAUCCUCAAACUAUAACAACAAUGGAGGUUAAAAGUAUCUAUAUAAGAAUAAAAACCACCAAUUAUAUCUUUGGAACCACUACCAAACAUAUUGCACAUAUAUAAUGACUAUAAAACUACAUAAUAAAAUAUAUUAAUAAAUAAAAUAUAUUAAUAAAAUAUAUUGUUAUGUUUCUUUAUAGAAAUAAAAUAUGUAAAAGUUUUGAAGUUUUUAUUAGUAUUCCAACAAUCCCCCACCAAAGUUCCAAAACUUUAAAAUCAUAUUAUUAUGAUUCAAUAGAUAUAUCAAGAAAGUCGUAUAUGCAAUUCUACAAUUCAAAAGUAAAUUACUGUCUCUGGAAGUUAUUCCCAAACAUGUGAACAUCACAAUAUUACAAUAAAAAAUUCAUGAUUUUAGAAUAUUGGAAGUAGGAAAAUACAUCAUAAAUUUCAAUAUUUUUUAUAAGAGAAGAGAAGGAUUUGACAAUGAAAAGUUAGUAUGCCAAAAACAUUGGAGAAAAGUAGCUAAUAAAAAAUAAGAACUUGUUUUGAAGACAAGAAAUCCAAGAGGGUAAAAAAAGAAAAAGAAACAUCUUUCUACAAACGUUAUUCUAUAUUCCAAUGAUCAGGAAACUCAUUCUAGGGAACUUGUUAGAUGCGUAACAAGAAUGCUGUCGAGAUUUUAAAUGCUUGUCGGGUUCCACUCGUUGUGGUGGAACUCAUUAAUAUGUGAUAUUUAGAAAGAUUGUUCUACCACAAUUUCAACCUAAAUUAUCUCCUACUUCUUAUAAGAGGAAUGUGUCAACCAUUUCCACGGGAGCAACUCUUGAAUCUUGGUCAAACCAACGAAGGACAAUGUGGGGAUUUCAUACACUCCGAAGAAUACAAACAUUUCAUUUGUGCUCAUCUAAAGACAAGCAAAAUGGACAAAUAGACUACACUCAAUAGCCCUAGAGCUUCUAACGAGGAUACCCAAUGACAACACUAAGCUCAAGCUAACACGUGUAGUUCUUUUCGACGAGAAGGAGCAACAUAUUAGCAUCCUAAAGCGAUUUGACAAACGGAAAUACUACCAUACAAGAAGACACCAUUCAGAUAACUACGUCCCCAAAGCAUAAUAAAAACUCAGACAUGAACAACUAACUCCACCUGAAUGGCACUAUUAUUAUCAGUCCAAUUCUUAUGCAGAAGAAAGAGUACAAGAGGAAGAAAUAUGAUGUGAGAUAAAAUUUAGGAAUCAACUCAUGUAAUAGAGUCAAUCCCCUAAAUAUGGAGGGGCCGUAUAGGAUCAUUUUUUGAAGACAGUCCACUGAGAUAUUGAGUGAGCAACAUAGGAUCAGAUUUUGAAGAUAGUAAGCCUCUUAGAAUCAGAAAGAUCAUUUUCAAGUUUGAAGUUGUUCAUCUGGAAUCUUGGUACUAAAUGAUAUUAUUAGAACUGGUAAAAUCAAGAUUCAAAACAUUUGGCAUAUCAAGCAAUAAGACAGCUUAAUUCAAUAAAGAUAAUGAAAAAGAACUGAAACAUGACCUUGAUAAUUGAGAUCAGAAUCAACAACAAUUAAUCGCAUAGUCAAUACCUUGGCGAAUCGCAAUAAACUUACAGAAGAGAUUCAUUGCGCUUUACCCUGCCCUGGCCCGGUAAUUCUGACCAGCUUUCCAACAAUGAAGAUGCUCUCUUCUAUGCUGGCCCAUGUGUUCCAUGUUGGUCCACGAUCAUAAGCCCACCUGCAACCUCCUACCAACCAGGAUCGUUAUGUAAGAUAAACAAAACAAUAGCGCAAACUAACAGUGUAAAUGAUACAAUUAAUCCAAACAAAUAAAGAACAAAUUUGAAUCUGACCCAAAAGAAGAGGGGAAGAAACAGAUGCAAAACCCUGAUUUUUUUAUAGAGAAUAAAACACAAGUUUAAGACCAAAAAUUGGCAAGAAAUCAUUAAAGCUGUAAUGAAUAGCCAAUAAAUUCAAACAAAUAGAGAAAAAAUUGAGAGCAAUAGAAAACAAAUUUGAAUCUGACCAAAAGAAAAGGGGAAGAAUCGGAUGCAAAACCCUGAUUAACAAAUAGAGAAUAAGACAUAAGUUUCAGACCCAAAAAUUAGCAAGAAAUCAUUAAAGUUGUAAUGAAUAUACAAUAAAUCCAAGCCAAUAGAAAACGGAUUUGAAUCUGACCCAAAGGAAAUGGGAAGAAUCAGAUGCAAAACCCUGAUAAACAAAUUAAAAAUAAAAAAAAAAGUUUAACAAUCCCUAAAAUAGUCAAUAAGCAUACAAACCCAUCUUCUUCAAAGAGAGAGAGACGAAGCAAUAGGAUAAUCUUCAUCAAGAUGAACC
rnacentral:lncRNA from 1 species